UGGAUGAGCUCAAACAAGGCACUGAGAACCAGCUGCACACCCUGCAAGAGCUCAGAAUGCGUCCCAUGAUGAGAUCGCAGUACAGCGCUCAGAGCGAAAAACACGAGCAGAGAGCGAUCCCUGCCGAGGUGUACAGAAAAGGCACUGAAAAUUCCAGAAAUGUCCUGAUGGACCUGAACACCGGUCUGCUCAAAGAACACAUGAACAAGAUGGACAGGAGAGUAGUGGCAGCUAAAUGGGAAGUGGUUUCUGAGCAUGAGGAUAUAAGAAGCCAAGACUCUUCUGAACAUAAGGAGAACCACAAAGCAGUUCCUGUUGAGAUCCGCAGACAGGGAACAGAACCUUCCAGACGCAUCCUGAUUGACUUGAACACUGGGAUGCCCAAGGAGGAACUCAGCGAAAUGAACAGAAGAGUUUCUGGCUGUAAGUCUGCAAAAUAAUUUGCAUUAUAGAUUUUAGUGUUGCUUUGCUUUUUCAAAACCCCGACGUAUUAUAUAUAAGGUCAACAUGAACAUGCAAAACUGCAUGGACAAACACUCAAACUGUUCUUAAGAAAAAUCAAGUAUAACAAUGACAUUGAAUAGAUUUUGGAAACAUUUAUUACUGUGUUAUUUUCUCUACAGUCUACAAUCCACCAGCUAUUGAGAAGAGGCAAGGAACAGAACCUUCCAGACGCUUCCUGAUGGACAUGGACACUGGGAUGCUCAAGCACGAAUUAAGCGAAAUGAACAGAAGAGUUUCCGGCUUCUACAAUCCUCCAACUUAUGAGAUGAGGAAGGGAACCCAGAAUUCUCGCGCCACUCUGGUGGAUCCCAGAACUGGACAACUGCUGGAAUCUCUAACAGAGCUCCAGAGGAGCGCAGCGCCAUUGGAUGAGUUCAGACAAGGCACUGAGUACCAGCCAUUCAUCCUACAGGAGCUCAGACGGAACAAACAAGACACUGAACCUUCCAGAAACCUCCUGAUGGACCUGAACGCCGGUCUGCUCAAAGAACACAGGAAUGAGAUGGACAGGAGAGUAGGGGGCUCAGCUAAAUGGGAAGUGGUUUCUGAGCAUGAGGACAUAAGAAGCCAAGACUCUUCUGAACAUAAGGAGAACCACAAAGCAGUUCCUGUUGAGAUCCGCAGACAGGGAACAGAACCUUCCAGACGCAUCCUGAUUGACUUGAACACUGGGAUGCCCAAGGAGGAACUCAGCGAAAUGAACAGAAGAGUUUCUGGCUUCUACAAUCCAGCAGCUAUUGAGAAGAGGCAAGGAACAGAACCUUCCAGACGCUUCCUGAUGGACAUGGACACUGGGAUGCUCAAGCACGAAGUUAGCGAAAUGAACAGAAGAGUUUCCGGCUUCUACAAUCCUCCAGCUUAUGAGAUGAGGAAGGGAACCCAGAAUUCUCGCGCCACUCUGGUGGAUCCCAGAACUGGACAACGGCUGGAAUCUCUAACAGAGCUCCAGAGGAACGCAGCGCCAUUGGAUGAGUUCAGACAAGGCACUGAGUACCAGCCGCACACCCUGCAGGAGCUCAGGAUGCAUGACAUUGUUAGACCAAAGUAA
rnacentral:lncRNA from 1 species